GAUGAACGCUAGCGGCAGGCUUAACACAUGCAAGUCGAGGGGUAUAGUUCUUCGGAAUUAGAGACCGGCGCACGGGUGCGUAACGCGUAUGCAAUCUACCUUUUACAGAGGGAUAGCCCAGAGAAAUUUGGAUUAAUACCUCAUAGUAUAAUGACCUGGCAUCAGGAUGUUAUUAAAGUCACAACCGUAAAAGAUGAGCA
rnacentral:rRNA from 1 species